AUAUAAAAUUAAUAUAAAGUUUCAAAAAUAAAAUGAAAAUAAUAUGAAAUAUACAAUAAAAUUUUGUUUUAUUUUUAUUAGGGUUACAAAACGGGGACAAACAGUCGGUGGGACCACAUUUAUCGGUUGUUUUAUUCUUUUUUAUUAGGGUUCGAUCGUUUACUAAUUUUCUUUUUAAUUUGUUCUGCAGAUGAACUCUAGACAUGUUCUAAGGGUCAUUCACGGGACAUGGAAUCUUCAUCAAAAUGGAGAGUGGAGCUUUGAAAGGAAGACAAACGAUCUUGGGUUUCCAGCUAUCGUGCGAACGUUAGAAAAUUUCGAUUCGCUUGAACGAAUUGUCUGAAGCCUAUACAACCUCGCAAUCGAAACACCAAUUUCGAUGACUUAUAGGCUUCCUGAGUGGAUGCUUAUUCCGGAUGGUAAUAAAACUCCUCCGAUAACAAUUCUUGAAACACCUGACAUUCAAUUUAUGAUGGCUGUGAGAGCUUGGUUUGCCGACCUCACACUUUGUGUAACUAUUGGAGCCGAAGAUGUUGCAUGUUAUCAAUUCUUUUGCCAAGCUGACUUUAAUAUCGGGUCCUCUUCUUAUAAAUUCAGAAACGGAAACGAGGAUCAGUCGUUCGAAGGUAAACCGUUGUUUCUCGAUACUUUUCUUUUUGUCUCUUUUAAGUUUCGUGUUUUUUUUUGUUAAUAAUUAGAGAGAAUCUAAUUUUUACAUACAUUGCGUUUAAUUUCAUCAAUAAUUUCGUUAAAUAAUGUAAAUUAUUUGCAAUCGUUUUAGGCUUUUUAGGAGAGGCAGUGGUUGCAAGUCAAGCGGUGCUAGAGGAGUACUUUAAUGACCAAGAGAUGAUGGUUAAUCAUAGGGUUCACCUCGAAAUGGAAAAAGCAAAACUGGAUUUGGAAAAUCAAAGAUGUUACGAACUUGUUCAUGGCAACGAAAUAAUUGUCAUAGAUGAUACUGAUUCCGACAGUGACGGAACCGAACCAUUAGGAUCAAACAAACUCUCUAUAACUGUGUUUAACACAGGUAAGAUGAAUACAUUUUUAUAUGUCACUAAUAAUAAUUCUAAUUAUCAAAUUGUUGACAUAGGCGCUUCGUCAAAUCAAGAAUCUCCUUUCCCAACAAAUGGACUCAUCAUUUCGGACGAGAGAAACAGUUAAUGCAAAAUAUAGUUUAUUACUCCAAUAUAUAUAUAAAUAUAGAAAACUACCGCAAGAUUUCGAAUUGUUAAUUUUUCAUCUUCAUAUAUUAUUAUAAUAAAUGUAACUUACGUUUACUAAUUAUGGUCUAAACAAAUUUUCAUUGACUUUAAAUUACCAGGUGUUGCAUUAGACUCUGAGUACAUCUCUCAACCUAAUGUGUCUAACGAUUCACCGAUGGAAUACUAUAAAGGGAUUCCCGUCCAAUUUACGGUGGAUGAAGAUUUGGUUAUUGUCCAGCCAAGUUCCCCUGCAAUCGAUGAUGGCAUUAGUUUUUGGGAAGGAGUUAUUGCAUCCGAAAAUGACAAUCAUGUAAAGAACGAAGAACAUUCCGACGAGAUGGACCUCGAUAUUCUCAUGUCUCAAAAUAUUUCACAGCUCCAACAAAAUGGCACCACUAACGUUGAGGAUGCUAACUCUUAGACCGACUCGACUCCUGAUCUUGAUGAAGUAAACAAUGUCGUUCUUAGUUGGGAAAAUGUUUCAGAAAAUCUUUCGAACACCCAACCAAUGUAUGAUAAUCCCAUUGUCUCGGAAGGUGUUCUUGAUGAUACUCUCGUGAUCUACAAUGCCGAAAAUAUGCCUCAGAACUCUGCAAGUGUCGACCUUAUUCCCGCAGCUAAUAAUUCGCCUACCAUCUCAGCAACUGUGGGGCUUAUCUAAUGGAGAUGAUAAUCUGGUGAUCAACCUUGAUGAUUCUUCCUUGGAAGACUCCAUGGACAGUGGUGUGUUCUAGGUCACUUAUUACUAUGUUUAAGUUUUAUAAUGAUUUCGGGGAAUGAAGUGUUGUUUUUGCUAAGUUUAUUGUGUGUCGGGGAUCAUUGUUUUUUGGUUUGUAAAAGGGAUAUCGGUUUAAAUAUGUGGUAAUGUGUAAACGUCAACUCAUAUGUUUAAUACUUUUUGUUAAUGUUUAAUACUUUUUGUAAUGUUUAAUAUUAACGGAUAUGUUUAAUCUAAUCUUCAAUGUAAAAUAUAUUAGUUUAUAUUAUGAGCUUUUGCAAUAUUAAUUUCCUAAUAUCUGAACGUGCUAAUUAAUGUAUGAGUUACAAUAAACCAACACACCGAACUCUAUGUUGGAAUGGUAUUUACAAACCGUGAUGAAUUUAAAUUGCAUAUGGCCUUAUAUGCAAUUAGAAAGAAGUUCCGGUUUCGUAACAUCAGGUCAGCACCAAAUGGAAUGGUUUUAAGGUGUUUUAUCUCCAACUGUCAGUGGAGGGUAUAUGCCACAAAAUUAAAAGACUCAGACGUCUAUGAGAUAAGAAAACUCGAUCCCAUACACACUUGCUCCGUCGACGAUAGAUCCGGUUAUCAGUCUCAAGUUACACAUCAUGUUGUUGGAGAGAUGAUGAAAGCUCGUUUCAAUGGUAGUAGCGGUGGUCCAAAGCCUGGAGGUAUACGUCAAGUCAUGCAAGGAGACCACGAUGUCCGUAUAUCCUACUGGAAGGCUUGGCGCUCAAGCGAAAUUGCUUUGGAAUAUGCCAAAGGAAACUCACGAGGUUCUUACAAUCUAUUUCUUGAUUACCUCCGUAAACUAGUAGAAGCAAACCCUAGCCGAGAUUGAAACUGAAUACAACGAGAAGAUAGGAAACAGGUUUAAAUAUAUGUUUCUAGCUAUGGGUGCCUCUAUUAUGGGAUUUGAGUACAUGAGAAAAGUUGUAGUUGUCAAUGGAACCCAUUUGAGAGGAAAAUAUGCAGGGUGUCUUCUAACUGCUUCUGCCCAAGACGGCAAUUACCAAGUGUUUCCACUAGCCAUUGCUAUCGUCGACGGAGAAAAUGAUAACUCGUGGGAGUGGUUCUUCAAAAAGUUACAAGCAUUCGUUCCAAAUACAAACAAUAUCGUGUUUGUAUCUUAUAGACAUGCAUCCAUCUAUUACUGUUUGGCCAAGGUAACUAAUGGCUUUAUAGUAUUACAUAAUUGAUUUUAUAUCCGGAAAUCAUAUUUGUGAAGGAUACUAUCGUUAUAUCCAGAAAUCUAAAGUCUAUCCGGACAAUGUAUCAGGUUUAUUCAGAAGCUAAACGCUGUGCAUGCAUCAUUCAUUUAAAGAGAAAUAUCAGGACUUAUUACAAAGAUAAGAAUCUAGGAUUCUUGGUUGCAAAGGCUGGAAGGGCAUAUAGGUUGGCUGACUUCUACAAGGUUUUCAAUGAGAUAAAACAUCUCAAUGCCUCUUGUGCAGAUUAUCUAAUCGGAAUAGGGUCUGAGCAUUGGGCAUGUUUCCAUUUCCCCGAAUGUCGUUACAAUAUUAUGACGAGUAACGUUGUGGA